CAAGAUGGCCGCCGUAUUUCCUGCGCCGGAGCAGCCAAUGCGGGGUCUACUCUUAUAUUAUGUCUAUGAGUCCGAGCCAGGACCGCACAGUAUUCUGGGAGAUGUAGGCAGAGGAAAGGCUUUAGCCGGGCUAGCUAAGCUAAUUUGGGUGGCAUCAACUCACCCGCUCUUUGGUUACCUAGCAACUCGGUCACUCUUUGGUUGCCUAGUAACAACCUGCUGAGUCACUUUCAGGUAUCUCCAUCAUGCCUCAAAUUUGACUUAAAAAUAAAAAACGACAUGGAGUGAAAAUUGUAAAACAGGAAUGAUCACUCCACCAGUUUGGMAGAAUUUUACAUAUUUGAAACAGAAACUAAAUAAAUCUGUCAGCCAUGUUGUGGUUCAGUUACCCAGCAGAACCAGUUAGCGUCUCUGUCUGCCUUCAGGACACYUGGACGUGGUCCGCUUCCUGCUGGACGCCUGCAAGGUGAACCCGGUCCCGAAAGACAGGUGGGGCAAGACGCCGCUGGAYGAAGCCGUGCAGUUCGGCCAUCACGACGUGGUCGCCGCCCUGCAGCAGUACCAGGAGAACUACAACCCGGCCGACGGUUCUGACAAGACGAGCAAUGAGAAGAACCUGGACAGCCUCCUGUAGAACCGCCGGAUCCUCCGGAGAAAACAGUGGCUUUGCUUUGUGUUUCCGCCUGUAUCCUGAUGUGAUGUGUGUGAGCUUCAUGCAGCGUCUGUAAUCCAGUGUUUACAGUAUAUUUACACAUAUUUAUAUGAAUAUAUCAAGUCAGGGAUGGGAACCA